UUUUAAGAGAGUUUGAUCCUAGCUCAGGAUGAACGCUGGCGGCGUGGAUAAGGCAUGCAAGUAGAACGCCCAGCCCAUUCAGAAUUUUAUUGUAGUAUAAUGUUUAAUAUGUAUUACCUAUAUAUGUUGAAGCGAGAAUCAAAUCCUCGAGAGACAUAUAUCAGGUACACCAAUGACCUGAAAAGGCGAUUGGCAGAACAUAAUAAACAUACAUCAGCAGGAAGGUCGUUUACCCAAGAAAGGGGUGACUGGAAGUUGGUGUACUAUGAAGCGUAUUCCGCGAAGGAAGAUUGUGUUGCAAGAGAAAAAGCUCUCAAGCAGUACGGUUCAUCCCUCGCAGGUCUUAAAAAAAGAAUACGCUUCAGUCUCUCGAGAGAUUGAUAGAAAGUUGAAUGGGCUGGGAGUUGCGAACGAGGUAGUAAUACAUAGGUACAAACCCCCGAGUCAGGAAUAACCCACCGAAAGGUAGGCUAAUACUUGAUAGUCUCGAAAGAGUAAAGAUUUAUCGCUUGGGGAUUGGCCUGUGCAGUAUCAGCUAGUUGGUAGGGUAAAAGCCUACCAAGGCAAUGACGCUUAGGGGAGGUGAGAGCCUGACCCCCACCGAUGGUACUGCGACACGGACCAUACACCUACGGGUGGCUGCAGUCGAGAAUCUUCCGCAAUGGACGCAAGUCUGACGGAGCGACGCCGCGUGA
rnacentral:rRNA from 1 species